UCGCUACUACCGAUUGAAUGGCUUAGUGAGGUCUCCGGAUUGGCUUCGGGGAGCCGGCAACGGCACCCUGUUGCUGAGAAGCUGAUCAAACUUGGUCAUUUAGAGGAAGUAA
rnacentral:rRNA from 1 species